rnacentral:rRNA from 1 species
UACGAAGGGGGCUAGCGUUGCUCGGAAUCACUGGGCGUAAAGCGCACGUAGGCGGCUUUCUAAGUCAGGGGUGAAAUCCUGGAGCUCAACUCCAGAACUGCCUUUGAUACUGGAGAGCUUGAGUCCGGGAGAGGUGAGUGGAACUCCGAGUGUAGAGGUGAAAUUCGUAGAUAUUCGGAAGAACACCAAUGGCGAAGGCAGCACUCUGGGACGUGACUGACGCUGAGACGCGAAAGCGUGGGGAGCAAACAGG